GGAUUAGGAGACUUCAGCCAGAUCUGAACUGAGCCCAGCAGGAGAGGAGCCAGAAGAACCAGACUCAGCAUCAUCUCAGCAUCAUCUCAGCAUAUUCUCAGCAUCUUCUCAGCAUCUUCUCAGCAUCUUCUCAGCAUCUUCUGAGCAUCAACCAAGAGCACUAAAGGCCUGCAGCAUUAACUUUUGCUCAAGAGCAACACAAAUCUGCUUUAUUUCAUUUUGAAAUCAAGAGAAAACUUCACCUCAGCAUCAAACAUGCCUGCCUACACCCUGGACAUCGCUCCUCAGGACAACAUCCAGUUCGCCAGGUGUAAACUCCACAGUUUGGAGAGGAAAUGCUUCAGCAAAGUGGAGAAACUGAAGCUGACCCUUGAAGAACACCUGCAAAAUGGAAUCCCUGCUUCAGAUCUUCUGGAGAAGACAGUUUCCUUCUUCGCCAUGAAGAAGGCGGUGGUGUUCCCCGGCGGAUACUCGAGGUGUACCCGGGACGUUCUCCGAAUGUGCCCCUCCCCGACAGAAGACGUGGAGCCGUUGUUUUGUCAGGAGUGAGGUGGAGAGAGAUGAGGUUGAUGAGGAUGAGGUUUGGGACGAGCUUUUAAUAAGACUUUUGAAAAGAACUACCUCAGAUUUUCCUCUGAACUUCCUCUGAACUGUUUUGAAUGGCACCUUGCUGGCACUUUUUUUACUACAGACAUUUCUAGACAAGAACCGAGAGCUGGAACUGGAUGGAAAUAUGGUCCACAUACAGUAUGUACAUGUACUUGUACAGUCUUGUGGACACGCUGCAGUAUACCUGAGGAUGCGCUUUAUGCAUUCGUUUUAUAAUGUUUUAUAAUAAUAGAAAUUAUUUGUUUUUCCUCUCAUUGAGAGAAGCUUUUAAUUGAGAUAUUGUAUAGAAAUGAUGAUGAUGAUGAUGAUGAUGAUGAUGAACCACGUCGAUGAGCAGGAUGUCUGCUGGAGGACAUGAUAGCUCACUGUAAAAGCAUGUUAAAUUAACCUUUAAAGAUACAAUGUAUCAUUUGAAUAGACUCGAUUUUGUUGAUUUUUGUUUUGAAUCAGAUGAAAAAAAGUUUAAUGUGUGACGCAUGCAUUUCUUUUUAUGAAAUAAAUUUUAUUUCACAUGUAUUCA